GUUGAGGGCGGGGCCUCUACGGGAGCCGGGAGGGGCCGAGGGCGCUCCUCUCGCCACCGCGAGGUGCGGCUGUGCCUGAAGCGGCAGCAUCGGGUCUUCGGAGGCUGCUGCCCCGGGGUCGCGCUUUCUUCUUUCGUCCCGGUCCCCCGAGGAGUGCCCUGCGCUUCACGCCGCGCCUCGGGCGUGAACUUCGUGCUUGAAGACUAUAAAGACUAGUUUGAAAAUGGAAAACCGAGAACCAGCGGAUCCUUCUCAAAAUACCAAACAGUCUAUUAUCUCAGAGGAGUUAAUUUCAGAAGGAAAAUGGGUCAAGCUUGAAAAAACAACAUACAUGGAUCCUACUGGUAAAAUAAGAACUUGGGAAACUGUGAAACGUACAACCAGGAAAGGACAGUCGGCUGAUGGUGUGGCGGUCAUCCCGGUGCUGCAGCGGACACUUCAUUACGAGUGCAUCGUUCUGGUGAAGCAGUUCCGACCACCGAUGGGAGGCUAUUGCCUAGAGUUCCCCGCAGGUCUCAUCGAUGACAAUGAGAGCCCAGAAGCAGCUGCUCUUCGGGAGCUUGAGGAAGAAACUGGCUAUAAAGGUGAUGUCGCAGAGUGCUCUCCAGCUGUGUGUAUGGAUCCAGGCUUGACAAACUGUACCACACACAUCGUGACAGUAACUAUUAACGGAGAUGAUGCUGAAAAUGUGAGACCUAAACCAAAGCCAGGAGACGGAGAAUUUGUCGAAGUAAUUUCCUUACCAAAGAAUGACCUGCUGAAGAGACUUGAUGCUCUGGUAGCUGAAGAACAUCUGACAGUGGACGCCAGGGUCUACUCCUAUGCUCUGGCACUGAAGCAUGCAAACACGAAGCCGUUUGAAGUGCCUUUCCUGAAGUUUUAAGGCCAAAGGACAGUAGCCAUGUUUUUAUAAACAAGACCACCAGGCCUCCUUCACUAAGACUUUGUAUUCAGCUUAGCUUAAUGUAGAUUUGAAAUUAGCUUUUUUCAUUAAAUAAAAGCCAACGCAGAAUACAUGUGGUGAUAUGGAAUUGUGAUUACAGGUAGGCUGUAGUCUUCAUUUAAGUGCUAAAUUCUGGCAAAUAUUGAGAAAGAACAUAAAUGCAGAUAUCCAGUUUUUAAUCCAGUUUCUUUUUUUUUUUUUUUUUAAAGCUCAGCUGUUACUUAUCUAAUCUAGUCCAACAGAUAGAGAAGUAUUUCUAGAGGAAAAAUGACCUGAAUUCCAAAUUGGGUCAGCUGCUCUCAGCCUCAGCUGAAACUUCAACUAGGAAUGCAAAUAACUGCUUAUUACUACAUUAAUGUUUAAACAAAGAUUUUUUUCAAAGACCUAUGUAGGGACUUAGCUGUUGUUCCUAAUUCUCUUCUAUAUGGAAUUAAUACACAUCCUUGCAUAGCAGAGUGUAAAGUCAACAUAGAACAACAUCUAUGAGAAGCAGAUGUUUACAUUUGGCCAACGUCCUCCUGCCCACCUACAUACUAAAGGUUAACAAACGCUUCAGCAAUGGAAAACGGUUCACUGUAACGAGGUUAAGAAGCCAAUGAAUAUACAGGGCCCUUCUCUCAAGCAGGUGUAUAUGCUUUAGAAUUUCAUUUCCUAUCCUUACCUGAGAAAGUACUUGAAGUUCCUAAUACCAGAUCCAUUUACAUGGCUGCGGGUGGGGGGCAUCACUGUCUUGGUUUUAAACCAUGAAUGUAGCCAGCAAGUUCCAGAAACCCAAUACAACCACCUUAGAGUGGAGGACAGGAGGGCACUGUUUCCACUUCCUGCCAUGCCUAAAGCCCGGUCAUCCAGAAGGUCUCCCAGUGUCCUGGGCCAUUUUCACAUCUUUUGGCUGAGCUCGGCCCGUGUUGACUUCUGUGGUCUCCAGCAGCUCCAGAACUAUCACCCUGCAGUGGCCCGAGGCCCUGCGAUGUCCUGCCGGUUACCACUGUCCUGUCCUGCCGGCCGCCACCGCAUCUGCCCACCUGUCGUCAUCGUUGGGUUGUGAUCCUGACCUGAGUAAGAUGUACUUCCUGCGCUAAGAAAGGAAACACUGGAAACCUUUACUUCUGAAAAGGAACUUCAAAGAUUAAGUUUGGUUUCUGUGGACACUGGGCACAAACUUUCUGCUGUUUCAGAUGGAGGCUGGAUGUUAUCUGAGACAGUUUUCCUGUUCUUUUCAGUGUCCAUCGCAUAACUGAGCAGCUUUUAAGUUGGUCCCUGUUCCUGAGCAAUUUCAAGAUCAAACCCAAAACUGUAAUUCCAUUGGACCUGUGACCACAGACCUCUCAGGAUGGGUUUUGUAUGAUUAGAUGAACCUAUAAUCUUAGAAAUCAUUUAGUAUCCGAUUUUAUUUUUCCAACACAAACUGAAACCGUUUUAUUAAAUAAAAGUUUAUUUUCUACUAUUGA